rnacentral:ncRNA from 2 species
CUCUUAUCGAGAGUGGCGGAGGGACAUGGCCCGAUGAAGCCCGGCAACCUUCAAGGUAAUCCUUGAAAAGGUGCUAAUUCCUGCAGGUUAUUUAUUUAACCUGAAAGAUAAGGG